rnacentral:lncRNA from 1 species
GGGGUGUAAACGUGCCAGGCCGAGCCCGAGCUCGACUGGGCUCGAGCUCGGCUCAGCUCAGUUCAAGCCUAUUUAUUUGAGCUCGGGCUCGGCUCGCGAGUAAAAUCCAAAGCUCGAGCUCGGCUCGACUCGGCUCGAGCUAUUCUGAGAACAACCUCAAACAAACAAAAAGUUCGGCUUGAGCUCGCUUCAAUUAGCCAAAGCUCGGCUCGAGCUCAACUCGCCAAUGUUAUCAUCAUUAUUAUUAUAUUAUAUAAAGCAUAAAUAAAUUAUUGUUUGGGCUCGUUUAGGCUCGCAAGCCUAAACGAGCUUUGUAUUUCUGGCUCGAGCUCGAGGUCGAUAACUAUAUGAGCUCUAAUUCAGGCUCGAGCUCGUCAAAGCUCGGCUCGUUUGAGUUUUUAACCGAGCCGAUAACGAGUAGCUCUCGAGCCUCUGGGCUUGUUAACACCCCUACUCUCUACUAAUUUAAACUCUAUAGACACAUUAUGUAAAAGUUUUUUUUUUCAAAGAAAACUUCAUUAAACCAACACGCCAAACCUCAAACCGAGGCGGCAGCCACUUCUUGUUAGAAUCUAUAUAUUUUAAUCAAGAAAUUGUUUGUACAGGUUUGUUUCAGUUCAAAAACCUAGAAAGUUGGUUGUGUGGUUGUUGGAAUCAGUAGUCUCGGAAAUUCGUACCUUUUUGUUCAGCGAACAAUACAUGAAUACGAAAAUAGUGUAUUCAUUUAACGUCUUUUUCAUUGGUUCAUCGUCAACUUGUUACUCAAAUCAAAUAUGUUAUGUUUGGGUGUUUUGUAAUUCAGCGUGGUAUUAA